UUAAUAGAUUAUGGUUCUUAAAACCCAAAGAAUUUGGCGGUAUUUUAUUCUUUUUAGAGGAACCUGUCCUGUAAUUGAUAAUCCACGAUAAAAUUUACUUAUUUUUGUUUUCAUUUUGUAUACCUCCGUCAUAAGAGUAUCCUUUUAUGGGUAAAUAUUCUUAAUAUAAUAAAUAUUAUAUGUCAGGUCAAGGUGCAAUUUAUAAAUAAGAAGAGAUGGGUUACAAUAAAUUUAUUUAGACGGAUUAAUAUUUUUAAUGAUAUUAUGAAGGUGGAUUUAAAAGUAAAAUUAAUAUAUUUAUUAUUUUGACUAUAGCUCUAAAAUAUGCACACAUCGCCCG
rnacentral:rRNA from 1 species